AGCGAACGCUGGCGGCAGGCCUAACACAUGCAAGUCGAACGGAUCCUUCGGGAUUAGUGGCGGACGGGUGAGUAACACGUGGGAACGUGCCCUUUGGUUCGGAACAACUCAGGGAAACUUGAGCUAAUACCGGAUGUGCCCUUCGGGGGAAAGAUUUAUCGCCACUGGAGCGGCCCGCGUCUGAUUAGCUAGUUGGUGAGGUAACGGCCCACCAAGGCGACGAUCAGUAGCUGGUCUGAGAGGAUGAUCAGCCACACUGGGACUGAGACACGGCCCAGACUCCUACGGGAGGCAGCAGUGGGGAAUCUUGCGCAAUGGGCGAAAGCCUGACGCAGCCAUGCCGCGUGAAUGAUGAAGGUCUUAGGAUUGUAAAAUUCUUUCAGCGGGGACGAUAAUGACGGUACCCGCAGAAGAAGCUCCGGCUAACUUCGUG
rnacentral:rRNA from 1 species